GUCGAACGGGGUAGUAGCAAUACUGUCUAGUGGCGGACGGGUGAGUAACACGUGGGAAUCUGCCUUUUAGUGGGGGAUAGCAGGCCGAAAGGCCUAUUAAUACCCCAUACGCCGUAAGGUGAAAGCAGCAAUGCGCUAGAAGAUGAGCCCGCGCCCGAUUAGCUAGUUGGUACGGUAACGGCGUACCAAGGCACCGAUCGGUAGCUGGUCUGAGAGGAUGAUCAGCCACAAUGGGACUGAGACACGGCCCAUACUCCUACGGGAGGCAGCAGUGGGGAAUUUUACACAAUGGGGGAAACCCUGAUGUAGCGACACCGCGUGAGCGAAGAAGCCCUUUGGGGUGUAAAGCUCUGUCAGCAGGGACGAAAAAAAUGACGGUACCUGCAGAGGAAGCAUCGGCUAACUACGUGCCAGCAGCCGCGGUAAGACGUAGGAUGCGAGCGUUGUCCGGAUUUAUUGGGCGUAAAGAGUUCGUAGGCGGUUCGUUAAGUCUGGUGUAAAAGACUGGGGCUCAACCCUGGGAUCGCACUGGAUACUGGCGGACUAGAGUGCAGUAGAGACAAGCGGAAUUCCCAGUGUAGCGGUGAAAUGCGUAGAUAUUGGGAAGAACACCGGUGGCGUAAGC
rnacentral:rRNA from 1 species